rnacentral:rRNA from 1 species
GAUGAACGCUGGCGGCGUGCCUAAUACAUGCAAGUCGAGCGAACAGACGAGGAGCUUGCUCCUCUGACGUUAUCGGCGGACGGGUGAGUAACACGUGGAUAACCUACCUAUAAGACUGGGAUAACUUCGGGAAACCGGCGCUAAUACCGUAUAAUAUAUUGAUCCGCAUGGUUCAAUAGUGAAAGACGGUUUUGCUGUUACUUAUAGAUGGAUCCGCGCCUCAUUAGCUAGUUGGUAUGGUAACGGCUUACCAAGGCAACGAUGCGUAGCCGACCUGAGAGGGUGAUCGGCCACACUGGAACUGAGACACGGUCAAGACUCCUACGGGAGGCAGAAGUAGGGAAUCUUCCGAAAUGGGCGAAAGCUUGACGGAGCAACGCCGCGUGAGUGAUGAAGGUCUUCGGAUCGUAAAACUCUGUUAUUAGGGAAGAACAAAUGUGUAAGUAACUAUGCACGUCGUGACGGUACCUAAUCAGAAAGCCACGGCUAACUACGUG